rnacentral:rRNA from 1 species
GAUGAACGCUGGCGGCGUGCCUAACACAUGCAAGUCGAGCGGACAGACGAGGAUCUUGCUCCGCUGACGUUAGGGGCGGACGGGUGAGUCACACGAGGAUCCCCUCCCUAUCAGACUGGGAUAACUACGGGAAAGCGGAGCAAAUACCGGAUGAUCUAUUGAACCGCGUGGUUCAUUAGUGAAUGUCGGCUUUUCUGGCACUAAUAGAUGUAUCCGCGCCGGUUUGGCUCGUUGGGAAGGUAACGGCGUACCAAGGCAACGAGGCGUAGGCGACCUGAGAGGCGGAUCGGCCACACUGGAACUGAGACACGGUCCAGACUCCUACGGUAGGCAGCAGUAGGGAAUCUUCGGCAAUGGGCGAAAGCCUGACGCAGCAACGCCGCGUGUGUGAUGAAGGUCUCCGGAUCGUAAAACUCUGUUAUUAGGGAAGAACCGAUGUGUAAUUAACUACGGCCGUCUUGACGGUACCUAAUCAAAAAGCCCCGGCUAACUACGUG